rnacentral:rRNA from 1 species
AGUGAACGCUGGCGGUAGGCCUAACACAUGCAAGUCGAACGGCAGCACAGGAGAGCUUGCUCUCUGGGUGGCGAGUGGCGGACGGGUGAGGAAUACAUCGGAAUCUACUCUGUCGUGGGGGAUAACGUAGGGAAACUUACGCUAAUACCGCAUACGACCUACGGGUGAAAGCAGGGGAUCUUCGGACCUUGCGCGAUUGAAUGAGCCGAUGUCGGAUUAGCUGGUUGGCGGGGUAAAGGCCCACCAAGGCGACGAUCCGUAGCUGGUCUGAGCGGAUGAUCAGCCAGACUGGAACGGAGACACGGUACAGACUCCUACGGGAGGCAGCAGUGGGGAAUAUUGGACAAUGGGCGCAAGCCUGAUCCAGCCAUACCGCGUGGGUGAAGAAGGCCUUCGGGUUGUAAAGCCCUUUUGUUGGGAAAGAAAUCCAGCUGGCUAAUACCCGGUUGGGAUGACGGUACCCAAAGAAUAAGCACCGGCUAACUUCGUGCCAGCCGCCGCCGUAA